rnacentral:rRNA from 1 species
UACGUAGGGUGCGAGCGUUAUUCGGAAUUACUGGGCGUAAAGCGUGCGCAGGCGGUUAUGCAAGACAGAUGUGAAAUCCCCGGGCUCAACCUGGGAACUGCAUUUGAGACUGCAUGACUAGAGUACGGCAGAGGGGGAUGGAAUUCCGCGUGUAGCAGUGAAAUGCGUAGAUAUGCGGAGGAACACCGAUGGCGAAGGCAAUCCCCUGGGCCUGUACUGACGCUGAUGCACGAAAGCGUGGGGAGCAAACAGG